UAACGGCCCACCAAGGCGACGAUCAGUAGCCGGUCUGAGAGGAUGAACGGCCACACUGGAACUGAGACACGGUCCAGACUCCUACGGGAGGCAGCAGUGGGGAAUAUUGCACAAUGGGCGCAAGCCUGAUGCAGCGACGCCGCGUGCGGGAUGACGGCCUUCGGGUUGUAAACCGCUUUUGAUCGGGAGCAAGCCUUCGGGUGAGUGUACCUUUCGAAUAAGCACCGGCUAACUACGUGCCAGCAGCCGCGGUAAUACGUAGGGUGCAAGCGUUAUCCGGAAUUAUUGGGCGUAAAGGGCUCGUAGGCGGUUCGUCGCGUCCGGUGUGAAAGUCCAUCGCUUAACGGUGGAUCUGCGCCGGGUACGGGCGGGCUGGAGUGCGGUAGGGGAGACUGGAAUUCCCGGUGUAACGGUGGAAUGUGUAGAUAUCGGGAAGAACACCAAUGGCGAAGGCAGGUCUCUGGGCCGUUACUGACGCUGAGGAGCGAAAGCGUGGGGAGCGAACAGGAUUAGAUACCCUGGUAGUCCACGCCGUAAACGGUGGAUGCUGGAUGUGGGGCCCGUUCCACGGGUUCCGUGUCGGAGCUAACGCGUUAAGCAUCCCGCCUGGGGAGUACGGCCGCAAGGCUAAAACUCAAAGAAAUUGACGGGGGCCCGCACAAGCGGCGGAGCAUGCGGAUUAAUUCGAUGCAACGCGAAGAACCUUACCUGGGCUUGACAUGUUCCCGACAGCCGUAGAGAUGCGGCCUCCCUUCGGGGCGGGUUCACAGGUGGUGCAUGGUCGUCGUCAGCUCGUGUCGUGAGAUGUUGGGUUAAGUCCCGCAACGAGCGCAACCCU
rnacentral:rRNA from 1 species